CUGGAGUUACUAGUAAUCGCAGAUCAGAAUGCUGCGGUGAAUGCGUUCCCGGGUCUUGUACACACCGCCCGUCACACCACGGGAGUUGGAGACGCCCGAAGCCGAUUAUCUAACCUUUUGGAAGAAGGCGUCGAAGGUGGAAUCAAUAACUGGGGUGAAGUCGUAACAAGGUAGCCGUAUCGGAAGGUGCGGCUGGAUCACCUCCUUU
rnacentral:rRNA from 1 species